UACACCUGGAAUGUCGCCCCCAACGCCCUUUGUAACGCAACCCACGGCCUCCUCAGUCUGCUGGAUAGUUGCGUGCAACGCUUCCAUCAAUCCCGCACACACUUCCACCCGUAUCCCUGCACUAAGCCCCGCCCGCAAGUCCGGUUGCAUCCCAGCCCCCGAAUCCCAACCUACUUCGUCGAUGGAGCCAUCAAUAUUGAUGUUUGACUGGUGACGAUAAUCAACGUGUUCACAAGAACAGGGGAAGGCACGGUCGAACGGUCGAAUGGAGAUGGUGGCGCAACUUCAUUGGUUUCUAGAGAGGAUGACUUGGCACGACGAGGGUGACCUGAGUCGGAAGCAGCAACGGCGCUAAGCUAAGUUUUGAAGAUGCGCAUUUGCUCACGAACAAAAGCAGCGGUGGCGCUAAUCGGUGUUGUCAGCAGCAACAAAAUGGCGUCGUUCGAUGGUACCGCCGUUGUGGGUGGAAGGCUCUCAAGAAUUUGUUGUCCAGGAAAACUAGAUUCGCCAAAUACCUUAAACGAAGUAGUUGUAGUGUCACUGGCAUUUACUGGGUUUCAACACGUUUCGUGAGUAGGCAAAAUGAGAGGCCAUUCUGCACUGCUAAGUACAUUGGUGGAACGAUGGAGGCCGAAAACUCACACGUUUCACCUUCUAGUUGGCGAAGUGACAGUGAUGCUGAAAGACGUUACACAUAUACUUGGCCUCCCGGUUAAUGGGGAGCCCGUCACGGGUAGAAUAGACAGCAGUCACCAAUUUCUGGUGGAGAACAGCAUUGCUUGUUUUGGUCGGGAGCCAGGUCCAUAGGAUCACGUCUUGGGUAAGGUGAAUCUUGCAUGGGUCCAACAGUGUAGAGAUACCGAACCGUGUGACACGCAGGAGUCCAUUGAGCGGUACGUCCGGGCUCACAUUUUCUGCGUGCUUGGAAUAGUUGUGUUUCCGGAUAAGUCCACCACUUCAUUGAACUCGAAGUUUCUGCCUCUACUUCAGAAUUUCGACCAGAUUGGUACAUACAGUUGGGGGGCAGCCAGUCUAGCAAAUCUAUACAGAUUGUUGUGUCGUGCAUCACAAUACAAUUGUAAAGAGAUGGAUGGGCUACUCAUACUACUUUUUGUUUGGACGUGGGAGCGUAUGCCGAUCCUAAAGCCUAUUCCCCGCAAUCAGCUCGGUGAUGUUGGUAUUCCACUUGCGCGACGAUGCAGGUCGCAACCCACCUCGGUGAAUUGUCUGGUUGGUGACAGAAGUGGAGGAUCCGGAUACUUCUUUUGAGUCAUUUUGGGUUAAUUUGUAUAUGUCUCUCACUUUUGUAUUUUGUUUUGCCUAGAGGCUUGCAUUUGAGAGAACAAAAUUUGUAUAAGUUGUUUUUACUGUCUGAUUCUCUUUUAGUCUGUAUAUAGCUAGCUGGCUUAAACUCCGCGAGCCAUGGCUAGUUUCUUUUGAUAUUAUAUACUUAU